rnacentral:misc_RNA from 1 species
UUUCCGUAGGUGAACCUGCGGAAGGAUCAUUAAUGUGUUUGGGCCUCACGGCUCUUCAUCCGACGCUGUGCGCCUUCGGGCUGCACGUUGAGGGAGCAUAUAUCCACCCCUGUGCACACACACGGUGGCGAGCUGGGUAACGGCUCGCCGCUGAUCCUUACACACGUCUAAAAGUCAUUGUAUGUUUAUUUGAGAUAAAAACACAACUUUCAGCAACGGAUCUCUUGGCUCCC